UGGGCAAGUUAGUUGCUCCAAAAACAAGAUAAAAUGAUUGAGUUCUUUUCUCAAGCGGGAGUCGGAGUUUAUCUGCUCUGAGGGUCAUCCAACUAAAAAAUAUAUAUAUCUUGAGGAUUUGCAUUGAUAUUCAAUAUCGACAUAUCCAAGGCCUCCCUCCAGACCACUAGAUUCUAGUAAUUUGAACCGGCUUCUCCUCUCCCUCAAAGCAGCUCUGCUUAGUACAGUGCUUGGCACAAAGCAAAUAUUCAAUAAAUGUUAGCCAACGUUAGCUGCUCAUCUGCUUUCCUUAAAAGCCAAGUCAUUUCAACAAACCACCCCUGAGGCCCCAAGACACAGAAGAACAGCAUCCAGUCCAAGCCUUCUGGUGCAGAGCCCCAGCAGCUACUAUUAAUGAGUGUCUGGAAUAUGUUCCUGGCAUUUCACCUACCCUCUCUCCAAUCCUUCCAAGAAACUCACAAAGCAGGGCUUUUUCUUGAACUUCUCUUCCUCACAACAGUUAAAUCAUCCAUUUAAAGAUGUCAAACAACCUCCGUGUUCUAAGAACUAUUUACUGAGCUCUACGGAGACACAGCUACAAGCACCACAUGCUGGACCCCUGAAUAUGGAGGGCCAACUACACUAGAAACACACACGCUAGCUGAGAAAGAUGGUG
rnacentral:lncRNA from 1 species